rnacentral:snRNA from 1 species
GUGCUCGCUGCAGCAGCACAUACACUGAAAUUGGAACGAUACAGGGGAGAUUAGCAUGACCUUUGCACAAGGAAGACAUGCAAAUUCAUGAAGCAUUCCAUAUUUUU